rnacentral:misc_RNA from 1 species
GAUCCUCUGACUUGACACCA